GACGUAGGGCGCGAGCGUUGUCCGGAUUUAUUGGGCGUAAAGAGCUCGUAGGCGGCUCAUUGCGUCAACCGUGAAAACCUGCCGCUCAACGGUAGGCUUGCGGUUGAUACGGGUGGGCUGGAGUUCGGUAGGGGAGACUGGAAUUCCUGGUGUAGCGGCGAAAUGCGCAGAUAUCAGGAGGAACACCGGUGGCGAAGGCGGGUCUCUGGGCCGUAACUGACGCUGAGGAGCGAAAGCGUGGGGAGCGAACAGG
rnacentral:rRNA from 1 species